GACCUCACCCUCAAUCCUUCUACACCUAAUUCUCUCUCACUAGAAGUUCCCCUGACAAAAGCUCUCUCUCUCUUGGAAGACCCCCUGAACCCCUGAAGUGCCUGGCGACCACUGUCCAGGAGCCUCCUGCUCCUUGUCUCUCAGCGCUUCUGCCUCUCUCUUCUUCCUCUUCUUGGGUUCCACACGGUCUCAGGCAAAA
rnacentral:lncRNA from 1 species